CCUGCAUGAAAAAUACAGUCUGGUUUAAUCUGGUUUGAUCAUUUGCAGGGCAAUCACAGAAGAAUCUGUACAGUAUGUACGUACUGCGAGACAGAAAAUGGAUUUUGGACUUUGGACAAAUCAUUUUACUCACUGUCUGCAUCAUUUGCAGGAAGAGUUGAUAAUCUGCAUGGUCCGUCUGUCUCCUCUGGCUUUACUGGUUGGGCCCUCAGAUAGGUGUUCAUUCAAUACAUCCGCAAUCACACACACAUGUUUGUCCAAUGCCAAAAGUAGCCCACAACACAAGGCAUCAUGUUUUGUUUA